GGAGCAUGGAAGUGUAAACUCUCAGAUCUGCAAAAGACCACAAAAAAAUCAUGUUAGUGUAAUUCUGAUAUUAACUAAACUAUUUUCUACCAUAUUCAAUGUAUGUACAUGUACUUUUCAAAUGGUGUUAUUAGAAAUUUCAUAUGGUUGUUAUUUUUAUAUGAGAAAUUAUAUAUGUUGGUAUAGGUUACCAUUAUCUAAAAUAUUUAUGCAGAUGGCAAACAUUAAAAGUCAACCUUAAUGCAAAUAAAACCACAAAGGAAUGGCUGUACAAAUUCAACAAUCACUAAAAUAAGAUGGUGAUGGGCACUCUUUUUUCAACAAUCACUAAAGUAUAAGUAUUAAGUAUAAUUAUACUUUGCAGUACAUAUUUACCAUUAAGUAUAUACUUACAAAUAUAAGAAUCUGUAUAAGUACAUAUAAUAUGCUGUAGUUUUCUUAUAGAUGACUGUGCCAAACAAACUAAUCAACAUGUUUGGAAAGAAAGUAAAUGAAGAAUAAGAAUUCCAAUAUUUAUAUAGAAUCUAAUUUUUGUAAUAUAGACAAUUUUGCAUCGGGCGGAGGUACAAUAGUAAAUUGGUGAUUAUUUUAUAAAAUUAUAUAUAGAAUCUAAUUUUUAUCUUAUAUUUAUUCAUAUCUAUUAUAUUUUUUGUCUCCAUUUUUUUUAAGCUUUCUGUGACAAAAUCACAAAAAUUGUAAUAUUAGUAACCAUUACAGCUCUGAAAAAAUAUUGUUUAGAUAUAAAGGAAUGAUAUAGCGUAGAAUUAAGGUGAGUGCAUCAUUGCAGGUAGAAAAAUAGGGAAGUCGGUUUAUGUUAGGCUAAAAAGGUAGUGAAAUAUUGUUAGUGCCAUAGUAGUGUUCGUCAUAUAUUCUCAAACACUAAGGCCCUUUACUAAAUACAACUCAAAGGACACGAUGCCUAAAGAAGGAAAUUGGUUGAGAAUGAAUACCUUUAGCUUGGAUGAUAACUUUUCCACUCAGAACGUUCCUCAUCAGUAGUUCGUUUAGGUUGGAGAGGACCUUUAUCUUGGCAUCUCGAACCUGUUUGGAAACAUGAGGAAAAUUGCAAAUUACUUAAAUGGGAAAGCCACAACUUUCAUUAUAAUGAAGAUACUUAACAUUCACCAGUAUUGUAAGCAGGGGUAUAAUGGUGAGCACAUAAGAGUAUUGCAAUUGAAUAUAUGCAGAGAGACACCGAAAAGAAGGAGUGGCACAUAGAGACACAGAAAAAUCGCCAAAUUAAAAUCUUCAAGAAGACUGAAAUUCCUAAACAAAAUUCUGAGUAAGACUAGAACCUCACAAGUGCUUAAACAACACACUGAGAAUGAAUUGAAUCCUUCAAACAUAGCCCGGAAAAGUCAAACCGAAAAGCAAUUUCACACCGAAUUUCACAAGUGCUUAAAGAAUAUGUAGUUUUAGAAACAAAUAACACAAAAAAAAAAUACCUGUUUUGUAUGGGUCUACUAAAACACUUAGUAGAUCUGAAAAAAAUCGAUAGAAUUGGUCACUGUAAAAGAAACAAUAACUAUGUUACAACAUAAAUAUAGAAUACAUAGAUCUAUUGAUGAAUACGACAAGAAAAAUAUUGAGAACGCUGGAAUUAAAGAUGCAUACGAGGGAGGGGGCCCAGGGCCUGGGUGACGCCGCCGUUUGAAACCCGGACGGCGGCGGCCGGAUACGGGAGUGCAGAGGGAGGCGGCGGCGCAUUCGUUUUCGCCGAUGAGGGAGGUGACGCUGCGUGGAGCGGCGUCAAUGCGUAGAUGUGAGUGCGGAGUUGGUGGUUUGGGGAUCUAGGCUUUUGGACGGCGGUUGGUCGCAAAACCAGAGGUCGAGGGAAAUAGAGGGCGAGGUAGAGGAAGACAGAAGACGGAGAGAAUCGACGACCGUGGCUUCUCGCCGGCAAUGGUUGUUGUGUAUGCGUCGUGUGAGUGAUUGAGAGGGAGACAAUGGGCGCCUAUGGCUUAUCGCCGCUAAACAGCCGGAGGAGAAAAGGGCAGAGGACAGAGAAAAGGGCAGAAGACUGAUGAAGGUUUGGGCUGGGAGAAAAGGAACGAGGGAUGAUGAAGGGAGUAGCGGCGCAGAUUCAUGUUCAAACCCUAAAACGAGAGGAGCUGUGUAUUUGAGCAAUGAACCCUAAAAAUGGAAAUGGGUUCAAAGUGUAGAAGCUUCUCCAUAUUGGGUUGUAUUUAAUUUUGUUUUAUAUUUAUUUAUACUAUUACUAGGGAUGUCAAUCAAGCCCAAAACCCGUGGGCCGACCCGAAUAACCCGAUAAAAUUAUAGGGUUAGGGUUGUAAAAUCGCAACCCGAUUAUAAAUCGGGCUAGCCCGUUCGGGCUGGCGGGUUGAAGCGGGCCAGCCCGUUGGGCUACUGAUUUUUUUUUUUUAUAAAUUGAAUUUUAAAAUACAUUAAAGUUUAGGCUUUUAAGGUUUAAGAUUUUUUUUGAGAUACUUUUUUCUUUAAUUUCAAACUAUUGUUGAAUAUUUUUUUUUAAUUUUUUUUAACAAAGUUGAACAUUUU
rnacentral:lncRNA from 1 species